AAAACUUCAUUAAAAAAAAUUUAUAAUCUAUUUCUAAUUUCAAUCCCAAAACCCAUAGAUUUCUAUCCUUCCACAACUCAAAUGCAAAGCUUCAUUUUUCACCACCACUAUCGCAGAGCUCAAGCUUGUCUUCACCUUCGUCAAGUCCUUCACUCCAGUCACGAUGGGGAAUCUUGUCUCAGCGUCGUCGUUGAUGGCCUCGAUCAUGUUUCCAUCUCAAGAUCUUUAGAGGUUUCGAUUUCAAACACCCAUUUUGAUUUAUGAAGAGAACAUCCAGCUUUUGGGAUUUUAGUUUGGGGAAAUAAAAUUUAAAAAAAAAUUAAGAUUUCUGAUGGUUUUUGAUUUGGAGAAAUUGAUUUUGUUGUUCUUCUUUCACUUUUAGGAUGAAACUAACAAAAAUUGUGGUCAAAAUAUAUCUCCGUGAAAAGUUGAUAUUUUGAAAGAUGUUUUUGAAUAGGGCAGAAGAUUGCUAGGUCUUUUAUUUUUCUUUCAUUGGAUGAGAAGUGACAAAAAUGAAACCAAAAGCUAAACCAUAAAAGUUACAAACUGGGGAUGGUUAUUGCCAAAUCAAUUUUUUUUAAAGAGAAUUUUGGAGAAGAAGAUACUGAAAUUGUCGUUGAUGAAGAAAAUGAAAUUUGAGAUUUUUAUAUAAUUUUAGUUAAAAUACAUGUUUGGUAUAAUUGUGUUUUACUCCUUCAAAUGACUGCAUAAAAGCGUAACGCAGCAAAUUAAGUCACGUGUCAUUUUCCAAAAAAUGUUCAGCCAUUCUUUUCUGACUCUUAAUUGUAUAAAUGAACACAAUGUUU
rnacentral:lncRNA from 1 species